AAAUUGAAGAGUUUGAUCAUGGCUCAGAUUGAACGCUGGCGGCAGGCCUAACACAUGCAAGUCGAACGGUAACAGGAAGCAGCUUGCUGCUUCGCUGACGAGUGGCGGACGGGUGAGUAAUGUCUGGGAAACUGCCUGAUGGAGGGGGAUAACUACUGGAAACGGUGGCGAAACGGUGGC
rnacentral:rRNA from 1 species